rnacentral:rRNA from 1 species
GAAACUUAAAGGAAUUGACGGGGCCCGCACAAGCGGUGGAGCAUGUGGUUAAUUCGACGCAACGCGAAGAACCUUACCAGGCUUGACAUCCCCUGACCGCGUAUGAAAGUACGUUUUCACCCUCGGGUGACAGGGAGACAGGUGGUGCAUGGUUGUCGUCAGCUCGUGUCGUGAGAUGUUGGGUUAAGUCCCGCAACGAGCGCAACCCCUACGUUUAGUUGCUAACGCGUGAAGGCGAGCACUCUAGACGAACUGCCGUUGACAAAACGGAGGAAGGUGGGAUGACGUCAAAUCAUCAUGCCCCUUAUGUUCUGGGCUACACACGUGCUACAAUGGCCGGUACAGACGGACGCAAAGCCGCGAGGUGGAGCAAAUCCUAAAAAGCCGGUCUCAGUUCGGAUUGCAGGCUGCAAUUCGCCUGCAUGAAGUCGGAAUCGCUAGUAAUCGCAGGUCAGCAUACUCGCGGUCCGAAUACGUUCCGGGCCUU